rnacentral:lncRNA from 1 species
GGCGCCCCAGGCCAAUACAACCGUCCUUGAAGUAACCAUUCUCCCUACACCAAAAACAAAACCCUAGCUUGAAGUAAUGAGAUUGGUUUUGAGAUCUUAAGAGCAAAAUGUUCGAAGAUGAAGGUCUUGAGGAACAAAAGGAAAUGGUUGCCUGAUUGAUAGCAAAGGUGUUAGGACUUUUAAAGAGGUUGUUCCAAAGCCUUGGGAAAUUCUUUGAAAGGGGGAUCUGAAAGAAAGGGGAUGAGAGAAUAAGCUCUUUGCACAAAUGGAAGAACGGUGGCUAUGAGCAGAGGAAUAAUGGUUGUAGGAGAAAAGCUUUGACAUGCAAGGAUGGGUUGAGAUAAAGGCUGAUUUCCCAACACACUUUCAGAAGAAAUUGGAGCAGCCGACUGACCCCCAUUCCUUCUUGACCAACUGCCGACGGGGGACAGCAGAGGUGGAUAGCAUUGGCUCCGGUCAUCACCACCAUGUCCUCAAAGUCCUUUCCUCCAAGUUUAAGGUUAUAAUCUUUAAGGGCCCGUUUGAAUGAUUGGACUGAAAAUUUCAUUAAAUUUGUAAAUUACUGAGGUCUUUGAUCUGCCUAUGUUAUUUGAACCUGUCCACUUUAAAGCUAUUUCUAGAUACUUACGAAUGUUGAUCUAAUCUAGCUUGUAAUCCUAUUAUAUAUCUAGCUAGUUGUACUGGUCCAAUCAAUGAAUCCAGUGAGAUUUUCAAUCCAAUCAUCUAGACAUGCUCUAAGAAACUAGUUGAAACUAGAAGGGAUCUAAAUGAG